AGACCGACGGGUAGCCGAUCUCGUGGCGCGCACAGUGGCAAGAAGAAGAUAGGGGAAGUUCAUAUGACGAUGAGUGAAAGAGCGAGAGAGAAAGAAAGAGUGAAUAAGGUUGCGAAUAAGAGGUGGGGGUAGCAUAAGAGGGAAGGUUCAGCUUGCUCGGUAGAGGUCGCUAGGGAGGCCGGUAGAGCCCGCCCACUGAAACGGAGAUAUAGGAGCCGAUUGGUCGAGAGAAAUGAUGGCAGGCGCGCGUGCCAAUCGAUAGCCGUCGGUAGACUCGCUCCUUCGGCUAUGGUCGCGCCGAUCCUGCAGGAGUGGGGAUAUCCUCGCGCACUGGUGGGAGAGACCGCGCGGUGGGGCUCAAGCUGCCAAACCGUUUUGCCUAAGGGUAGGGGAAGGCAAGAGAAGCCGGAGUAGUGGUGGAAGCAGCCGCCUUGGCAGGAAGUGAGCCCCGAGUGUUAGAGCCCAAGGCGAAACUUCGAAUGCUCAGAUGGUUCUGUCCUUUCGAAGAGAACGGUAGUCAAUCUCUUCGUUACUUGUGUACCUUAAAGACGUGUAAGAGUUACGGAAGAGAAAAGACGUGUGCAUCCAUUCACGCGCAUUUCCUAUACGCAUCGUAAACGGAUAUACGGAUAAGUAAUAUACGCAUAAGAAAGUAGAGGGAAACAAGAGUGGAAAGGAAAGAAGAAAUAGCUCGCUCUCUCUAUUUGUCUCUCAGAUUGGUAAUCAUCCUAGACUUGUGAACAGUAGAAUCAUUCGGUAUCGAGGUGUCAACAACAACGCAUCGUUCUUGUGUUGAGUACGAUUAAUAAAUUCAACGUGUUAUUUCUUUUUGGUGUUCUAAAUAGUGACAUUAGAUAGACGGUGAGUAUCUUUCUUAUUAAAUACGAGAACGCUAGCGAGAGUGAUAUAAUAAAACUUUAUAGAAGAUUAUUAUUAUUAUUAGUAGAACAAGUUUUUCACGAACGUGAUUUUGCGCGCGCGUUUAUCCUGACGUAUUAAGAGUGUGAAUUAUUUGUGAAUAUUUGUGAUUUUAUCGAAUGCUAACUCUUAUACUGAAUCAUAUAUAUCUAUAUAUGCAUGUACUUGCAUAUAUAUGCUAUUCAUGUUUGAUUAUCGGUAUUAAAAGAACAUAGACUCUUAGUGAGAUUCGACUUCGAAAAGAAGAAGAAGAAGAUUGGGUAGUGAACGAAACCGCGCUUCUAAGAUCUGAUCGGUAACGUGUCUCGUCGAGGCAUUCUUUGAUAUAAUACGGUUUAAGAAAACGGCGACAAACUGUACGGCCACAGGGAGGACGACAUGCUAACGAUGGAGACGGACCUGAAGGGCGGUAGCCUGCUUGGUCAGAUGCCACCACACCCGCAUCAAGGUGUAUCACCGAUGGGUCAUCACACCAGUGUUUCACCUUACGGACCUCUUAGUUCCAUAGUGCAUAGUCCAUCUUUAUCUGGAAGCCCACCGAGCAGCAGCAACUUAGGAUUAAGUUUGCAACAUCAACAUUACCAUGCUUCGAUGCAAGCUGCAGUGCAACAGCAACAGCAACAGCAACAACAGCAUCAUCAACAACAACAACAACAACAACAACAACAACAACAGCAGCAGCAGCAGCAGCAACAAAGCAUGCACCACCCUCUUGUUGCUCAGCAAAGUGCUGCACAACAGCAGCACCAUCCUCACCAACAACCCCAACCGCAACAGCAGCAAGCCCAAAGUCAACACCACCAAGCUGCUAAUAAUAAUAAUAAUACGACUAAGCCUCCUACCGGUGACCGAGUAAAAAGGCCGAUGAAUGCAUUUAUGGUCUGGUCCCGAGGCCAACGACGCAAGAUGGCCCAAGAAAAUCCAAAAAUGCACAAUUCUGAGAUUUCCAAACGCUUAGGGGCCGAAUGGAAAUUACUCAGCGAAACCGAGAAGCGCCCAUUUAUUGACGAAGCUAAACGAUUGCGCGCGGUGCACAUGAAAGAGCACCCAGAUUACAAGUAUCGUCCAAGAAGGAAGACGAAGACUCUUUUGAAGAAAGAUAAAUACCCGAUCAGUGGCUCCGUCGGCGCAGUAGGAGUCAAUGUUAAUAGCAUUCUCGGCGUCGAUCAACGACAAGUUGGCAGUGCUGGUGGACCCCAGCAAGGGCAGAUAUCAUCUCGCGACGUUUAUCAAAUGGCGAACGGAUAUAUGCCAAAUGGUUAUAUGAUGCACGACGCGGCGGCUUCGUAUCAACAACACGUUGUAUACGGAAAUGCAAUGGGCGGAGAGGCGGCUGCUGGAUAUCACAGAUACGCAAUGGGACAUCACAUGGGUAAUGGUAGUCCACCCAUGAACGCACCUUACAUUAAUGGAUAUGGUGGUUAUCCUGGAAGUACGGUACCCGGCGGCUCACCUUCACCGUACCAUCAACCCCAACCAGGAUCUCAAAUGUCAAGCCACAGUCCUAGUGGCAGCAGUAUAAAAUCAGAGCCGACGAGUCCUGCAAGUGCGGCGGGAAUACACACUCCCACGCCGACAAACGGACAAAUUCCCGCUAAUGCAACGGCUACUCCACAACAACAACAGCAAGCACAAGCUGCCGCCGCAGUUAAACGCGAAUACAUGGCUCAACAAAACCACCAAACUCAUCAGUCUCCAGGAGAUCUUAGGCAGAUGAUAUCCAUGUAUUUGCCGCAAGGAGUCGACCAGGGUGUUGGUGGUCAACAUGGUGCUGGAGUCUACCCGCCUGGACCAUCACCAGAUUCUUUGGCGCAACAUCAUUCAAUACCGCCAAUCAAUCAUAUGUCUGAAAGUGAUCGAAAAAUGUUGAACCCAGAAACCGGUUGUUAUUCGGAAUCCGUGCGAGCAUGCAACGUACGUGGGCUCGGAAGAAGAUACUGAGCACGACGCUACCGUCGCAUUAAUAACACUGGUAGCCGGUCAUAUGUUAAACGUCCACCGACGGUGGCCGUUCCACCAUGGAAAGAGGAAGAGAGAGAGAGAGACAGAGAUAGAGAGAGAGAGAGAGAGAGAGAGUACCUACCACUUUCCUCGCAAAGGGACAGACCUACCUUCUACCUACAGCAAUGUACUUCUUCCUGAUGACGCGCUACCGCGCUAGCCACCAUCGCGAAUAUUCUUCCUCGCUCUUUAUAUUUUUCUCAAACGAAAUUUUUCAACAACAACAACAACAAAAAAAGGUAUCAAUGCCCGGAGGAGACAUACAGGAUGCCCGUGGAUUAUUAUAGUGCGAGAUCUACUUCGUCAAGGAGAUAUUUCGUUAACGAUUAAGAUACACCCCUUCGAGUUCGACGACGAGUCCCGGAGAAGAAGAUUGAAGGAAACGAAGAUGAA
rnacentral:misc_RNA from 1 species